GACGAACGCUGGCGGCGUGCUUAACACAUGCAAGUCGAACGAUGAAGCUGGAGCUUGCUCCGGUGGAUUAGUGGCGAACGGGUGAGUAACACGUGAGCAAUCUGCCCUUGACUCUGGGAUAACUGCGGGAAACUGUAGCUAAUACCGGAUACGAGGCUCGAAGGCAUCUUCGGGUCUGGAAAGAAUUUCGGUCAAGGAUGAGCUCGCGGCCUAUCAGCUUGUUGGUGAGGUAAUGGCUCACCAAGGCGACGACGGGUAGCCGGCCUGAGAGGGUGACCGGCCACACUGGGACUGAGACACGGCCCAGACUCCUACGGGAGGCAGCAGUGGGGAAUAUUGCACAAUGAGCGAAAGCCUGAUGCAGCAACGCCGCGUGAGGGAUGAAGGCCUUCGGGUUGUAAACCUCUUUAGCAGGGAAGAAGCGAAAGUGACGGUACCUGCAGAAAAAGCACCGGCUAACUACGUGCCAGCCGCCGCGGUAA
rnacentral:rRNA from 1 species